rnacentral:Y_RNA from 1 species
GUUUGGUCCAAAAGUAGAGAGUUAUCUCAGUUGAUUGUUCACAGUGACAGAUCAAGCUCCUUGUUCUCACUACUGCACUUGACUAGUCUUAA